rnacentral:lncRNA from 1 species
GGGGACCUCCGGGGCGCGGGAGCGGAAAACCAUGAGACCAAGAGCACUCGAUGGGCACCAAACGUGUCUCAGCAGCACUCUGCGCGGGCCACCCCGCCUUCGCCCGGGAAAGCUCAUUCAAAUACAAAGUGGACACCAGCUCGCCCACCCUCUCAGUCCCCGCAGGCCGCAGAGAAGCUAGGAGAUAAGUCCAAAGAAGCAUCCUUUCUUUCUGCUGCAUUUAUAAUGGGACUCUUCUGCCCCAGGAAAAUGCCACUUCGCUUCACGAGGAGGCAAUUUGUGAAUGGUGGGAAGAAUAAAUAAAAUAACGGGGCUCUGUUUUCUGAUAAACCAAUUUCUCCCCCUAAAAACUCUGUGUACUGAUAUUUUAGAACUUUCACUUUAAUAAAAU